UACAGAGGGGGCCAGCGUUAUUCGGAAUUAUUGGGCGUAAAGGGCGCGUAGGCGGCCAUGCGUGUCUUCCGUGAAAUCCCUCGGCUCAACCAAGGAAGUGCAUCCGAAACUGCUGAGCUUGAGUACUUAAGAGGAUCGCGGAAUUCCCGGUGUAGCGGUGAAAUGCGCAGAUAUCAGGAGGAACACCGGUGGCGAAGGCGGGUCUCUGGGCAAUAACUGACGCUGAGGAGCGAAAGCGUGGGGAGCGAACAGG
rnacentral:rRNA from 1 species